rnacentral:lncRNA from 1 species
CCCGGAGCAGGGGGCACCAGGACUGCUAGGUCCCAAGGACGCCAGAGCGAAAAGGGUGGGCUCAUCCGUGGAGAGAGCCUCCCCUGACUGGGGCCAGCUGCAGGAAAUGAACGUCAACACCCUGCAGACGGGAACCCCAACUGGAGAGGGAACAGGCUGGAGAAG